UUUCCGUAGGUGAACCUGCGGAAGGAUCAUUACCUUUCUGCCCUUCGGGGCACAGUGGGGGUCUAUACUUGUAUAGCCUCUAUCUGCAUCCUUGUCUUUUGCGUACUACAUGUUUCCUCGGCGGGCUUGCCCGCCGGUUGGACCAUUAUAAACUCUUUGCAAUUGCAAUCAGCGUCUGAAUAAUUUUAAUAAUUACAACUUUUAACAACGGAUCUCUUGGUUCUGGCAUCGAUGAAGAACGCAGC
rnacentral:misc_RNA from 1 species